rnacentral:rRNA from 1 species
AUUGAACGCUAGCGGCAUGCUUUACACAUGCAAGUCGAACGAGUGGCGGACGGGUGAGUAAUAUAUCGGAACGUGCCCAGUAGCGGGGGAUAACUACUCGAAAGCGUGGCUAAUACCGCAUACUAUGCGAGCGGCCGUUGGCGGAUUAGCUAGUUGGUGGGGUAAAGGCUCACCAAGGCAACGAUCCGUAGCUGGUCUGAGAGGACGACCAGCCACACUGGGACUGAGACACGGCCCAGACUCCUACGGGAGGCAGCAGUGGGGAAUUUUGGACAAUGGGGGAAAGCCUGAUCCAGCCACGCCGCGUGUAUGAGAAGGCCUUCGGGUUGUAAAGUACUUUUGGCAGAGAAGCGGUAUCUGACGAAUAAGCAACGGCUAACUACGUGCCAGCAGCCGCGGUAAUUC